rnacentral:tmRNA from 1 species
GGGGAUGAAUGGAUUCGACGUCUGACGUUGAGGUGAGAGAAGCGAGCCGUGGUCUCCGGAACCACGUAAAAGAGCCGGAAACAAAAAUAAACGCCAAGCUUCAGCUUGUGCUUGCUGCUUAGGUAGCAACGUCCACCUGUGCCCAGUCCUGCGGCGCAGAUUAUGGGCGUCAAAAAAGUGGGACUUACCUUCGACACUCGUUAGUGGUGACGCCGGGACAAUUUAGCUAACUACGGAUCACUUCUGGUGCACACAGUGGUGGUGAUCUCGACAAUUUCCUGUGCGCUGCGCUCGGAGAAGGAUCACUAAGAAACAGGCGGACCCGGGCUCGUAACCCGGCAUCUCCAA